GAGCCACUAAGUAGUUUUUCCAAAGUCACCCAGCAAACGCUGUGCAGUGAGCAUGGCUCGAUAAUACACAUAUUUACCCAGUGUGUUUUGUUGCUUCCUGUAAUCUAUGGGAAUGGCAUAUUAUAAAUGUAAAUAAGACUUCUUUAGGGUGUCCUGAUUACAACUCUUUGUAGCUCAUCAGCAAACCUAGAAGAUUCUGAGUUCUGUUGACAAUGAGAUGGAAUGAAACUCUCUGCCAAGAGACAAGGGGCCAGUUAACUGAUCUAAACCUUACCACAUCUGGGAUGGUGCCCCUUCUAUAGCAGAGUUACCCAAAGUGUGAUCCCUGAGGAGUAGGACCGUCAGUCUGGGUUUCAGCUAUCUCUGGAUGAUUCUGACAUAUACUCAAGCUUGAAACCACUGUAGAACUAUCCUUCCCAAAUGAGUGACCAUGAGGGCAUGAGUCUGUUUAAAUUUAAGCUAACUACCUUUAAAUAAAACUGAAAAUUCAGCUCCA
rnacentral:lncRNA from 1 species